rnacentral:rRNA from 1 species
GUUGCAGGGUAUAGACCCGAAACCCGGUGAUCUAGCCAUGGGCAGGUUGAAGGUUGGGUAACACUAACUGGAGGACCGAACCGACUAAUGUUGAAAAAUUAGCGGAUGACCUGUGGCUGGGGGUGAAAGGCCAAUCAAACCGGGAGAUAGCUGGUUCUCCCCGAAAGCUAUUUAGGUAGCGCCUCGUGAAUUCAUCUCCGGGGGUAGAGCACUGUUUCGGCUAGGGGGCCAUCCCGGCUUACCAACCCGAUGCAAACUGCGAAUACCGGAGAAUGUUAUCACGGGAGACACACGGCGGGUGCUAACGUCCGUCGUGAAGAGGGAAACAACCCAGACCGCCAGCUAAGGUCCCAAAGUCAUGGUUAAGUGGGAAACGAUGUGGGAAGGCCCAGACAGCCAGGAUGUUGGCUUAGAAGCAGCCAUCAUUUAAAGAAAGCGUAAUAGCUCACUGGUCGAGUCGGCCUGCGCGGAAGAUGUAACGGGGCUAAACCAUGCACCGAAGCUGCGGCAGCGAACGUAUCACCCAAGACAACUUUACGGAGUUGACGAUUGACGGAGCGAAGCGACGUCAAAGCGUUCAUUAAAGUCGAGUUGGCUUAGGGAUACGUUCGUUGGGUAGGGGAGCGUUCUGUAAGCCUGUGAAGGUGUGUCGUGAGGCAUGCUGGAGGUAUCAGAAGUGCGAAUGCUGACAUAAGUAACGAUAAAGCGGGUGAAAAGCCCGCUCGCCGGAAGACCAAGGGUUCCUGUCCAACGUUAAUCGGGGCAGGGUGAGUCGACCCCUAAGGCGAGGCCGAAAGGCGUAGUCGAUGGGAAACGGGUUAAUAUUCCCGUACUUGGUGUUACUGCGAAGGGGGGACGGAGAAGGCUAUGUUGGCCGGGCGACGGUUGUCCCGGUUUAAGCGUGUAGGUGUGUGUUCCAGGUAAAUCCGGUUCACUUUAACACUGAGGCGUGACGACGAGGCACUACGGUGCUGAAGCAACAAAUGCCCUGCUUCCAGGAAAAGCCUCUAAGCAUCAGGUAACACGAAAUCGUACCCCAAACCGACACAGGUGGUCAGGUAGAGAAUACCAAGGCGCUUGAGAGAACUCGGGUGAAGGAACUAGGCAAAAUGGUGCCGUAACUUCGGGAGAAGGCACGCUGACACGUAGGUGAAGUGAUUUACUCAUGGAGCUGAAGUCAGUCGAAGAUACCAGCUGGCUGCAACUGUUUAUUAAAAACACAGCACUGUGCAAACACGAAAGUGGACGUAUACGGUGUGACGCCUGCCCGGUGCCGGAA